CAAUAGCGUAUAUUAAAGUUGUUGCAGUUAAAAAGCUCGUAGUUGAAUUUUUGCUUGCCGCCGAUGUCGGAACUUACGUACGUUCGGCGGCGUGCAUCCUUGGGUGGAACCUGUGUGGCAUUAGGUUGUCGUGCAGGGGAUGCUCAUCGUUUACUGUGAAAAAAUUAGAGUGUUCAAAGCAGGCUUACGCCGUUGAAUAUAUUAGCAUGGAAUAAUAAGAUAGGACCUUGGUACUAUUUUGUUGGUUUGCGCACCGAGGUAAUGAUUAACAGGGACAGUUGGGGGUAUUCGUAUUCCAUUGUCAGAGGUGAAAUUCUUGGAUUUCUGGAAGACGAACUACUGCGAAAGCAUUUACCAAGGAUGUUUUCAUUAA
rnacentral:rRNA from 1 species